rnacentral:snRNA from 1 species
GCCCGCUUCGGCAGGACAUAUACUACAAUUGGGAUGAUACAGAGAAGAUUAGCAUGGCCCUUGCAC